UACACGGUUGUCGGGGCCUGGGUAGGUGU
rnacentral:piRNA from 1 species